rnacentral:rRNA from 1 species
ACGCUCGACACCUACGGUAGGCAGCAGUGGGGAAUAUUGCACAAUGGGGGAAACCCUGAUGCAGCGACGCCGCGUGAGUGAAGAAGUAUUUCGGUAUGUAAAGCUCUAUCAGCAGGGAAGAAAAUGACGGUACCUGACUAAGAAGCCCCGGCUAACUACGUGCCAACAGCCGCGGUAAUCUGAGCGGGCUGGCAAGGC